rnacentral:lncRNA from 1 species
AAAAAACAUUUUGUAUAUUUGAUAUCAAGUUCAAUUAUCCAUGCAGAAACGAAAAAUUUUUCUGUGUCCAGUAUAGCAUCGUAGAUAGAUAUAGGAAGAUGUGGUGUUAGUGCCAAUGAGACAACUCUCCAUCCAAAUAACAAUUUAUAAAAGUAACCAUUAUAAGUCAAUGUACGGCCUUCAACACGGAGCCUUGGUUCACACCGAACAAAAAGCUAUAAAGGGCCCCAAAAUUACUAGUGUAAACCAUUGAAACGAGAAAAACAACGGUCUAAUCUAUAUAAAAAACGAGAGCAUAUUCUUAAAAUAUUUUCCCGCACAAUAUCUGGACAUCGGUGGACAUGCAACAUUGCACACGUUUACAAAUGAAAAACAACACUCAGACUAUAGUCAUAAAGUAGGACAAUAAAAGAACAAAAGACAAACCGAGACACAGAAGUACAAACAAUAGACCAUCAACUCCGAAAACCAAAAGUAAAAUAGAAACAUAGAUCACGAAAAAAAUGCAGGGGCGACAUCAGUCCAGUGAAGAGAACUUGCUUCUUCCAGACACUUCGUGAAAAAUUUGAUAUAAAGACAUUUUUUUUUUAAUUUUUUUUUUUUUUUUUAAUUUCCAGCAUGAGGCAUUUGCCUCAUUUGCCUCAAUGUAGUUACGGCCCUGACUUUUCUGUUCAAAUAUUCUUUUUUAAACUACAAUAGUGUACAUGUACUUCGGGCAAUUCGAACUAGUUAGUUUGUAACUCUUGUACACGAAACACUAUGUAAAACCAGAACUAUAAACGAUUACUAAAACAAUCUGUAUGAUGAGGGUUAAAUAGUGUUUUUUUUGGUAAAAUGCGUGAAUAAUUUCAAGAGAGCACCGGCCGUCUUCU